GAUGAACGCUGGCGGCGUGCCUAAUACAUGCAAGUCGAGCGAACAGACGAUGAGCUUGCUCCUUUGACGUUAGCGGCGGACGGGUGAGUAACACGUGGGUAACCUCCCUAUAAGACUGGGAUCACUUCGGGAAACCGGCGCUAAUCCCGGAUAAUAUUUCGAACCGCAUGGUUCGAUAGUGAAAGUUGGCUUUGCUAUCUCUUAUCGCUGGUCCUCCGCCGUUUUAGCUAGUUGGUAAGGUAACGGCUUACCAAGGCAACGAUACGUAGCCGACGUGAGAGGGUGAUAGGCGACACUGGAAGUGAGACAGGGACCAGACGCCUACGGGAGGCAGCAGUAGGGAAUCGUCCGCAAUGGGCGAAAGCCUGACGGAGCAAGGCCGCGUGAGUGAUGAAGGUCUUCGGAGCGUAAAACUCUGUUAUUAGGGAAGAACAAACGUGGAAGGAACUGUGCACGUCGUGACGGUACCGAAUCAGAAAGCCACGGCUAACUACGUG
rnacentral:rRNA from 1 species